rnacentral:lncRNA from 10 species
CACACUUAUCUACAAACAGUCUUCAGAGAGGUGAUCGGAUGGAAGAUAUUAACAUGAUUCUGGAGUCUGCUAGGAGCUGCUCUGACUGGUGGCUACUGAGAUACCAGUGACGGGAAGGUGCUACAUCGUUAACAACAGUGCCUUUCAAAAAUGAUGAACUAUAAUCUACUGAAAACACAAGGACAAACCCUACUGUGAAGCAGUGGAGACUGGAGUCCUGCAUUUGCUGAACUUUCUUUUUAUGUGUUGGAUUCUGAUUUUAUAUUCAUUUCCAUUCAUGUGGACUCUGAAGAGUUAAACUCACUAAGGACACUUGAAGAAGUCACGUCCAGGGAUCACUGUCAUCACAGAUGGAGAAAAGGCCAAUGUCUUUCCAUGCUGCCUCACCAGAAAAGGACUGAGUUGGUACAGACCUUCAUUCCAGCUUAAUGUCCAUGACCUCAUCACACUCCAGGCCCAGGCUUGAGCUACAUGUUCUAGAAAGCCCUUAACUUCUCUAGGUCUCAAGUCUAAUCUCUGCAUCUGCGCCAGGUUCCCUGAGACUACUCUAAAGCUUGAUGAUUCACUAGGAUUCACAGGACUCAGAAAAGCUUACUUUUCUGAAUUAGAUGUACUGUUCUGAUAUAUUACAGCAAAAGGAUAUGAGUUCAAAUCAGAAUAAAAUAAAAGGUACAUGGGGCAGAGUCCAGGAGAAACCA